CAGAGCUGACCUCUGGGUGGAGAGGAGUGUGGGAAUACAUCUGGAAGGCGACCUUGAAUUCCCAGGCAGACUUGGCCAGGCAACAUUUCUUCCUCUCUGUCC